CCUACGGGAGGCAGCAGUAGGGAAUUUUCGGCAAUGGGGGGAACCCUGACCGAGCAACGCCGCGUGAACGAAGAAGUUAUUCGUAAUGUAACGUUCUUUUAACAGGGAAGCAAGAGAAAUUUGACGGUACCUGAAGAAUACGCUCCGGCUAACUACGUGCCAGCAGCCGCGGUAAUACGUAGGGAGCGAGCGUUAUCCGGAAUUAUUGGGCGUAGAGGGUGCGUAGAUGGCAUAGUAAGUCUUUUGUAAAAAUGCUGGGCUCAACCCAGUAGGGCAAAAGAUACUGCAAAGCUAGAGUAUGACAGAGGCAAGUGGAACUAAAGGGGGAGCGGUAAAAGGCGUAAAGAUAUGUAAGAACACCAGUGGCGAAGGCGGCUUGCUGGGUCGAUACGGACAUGGAGGCACGAAAGCGUGGGGAGCAAACAGGAGUAGAUACCCUGGUAGUC
rnacentral:rRNA from 1 species